rfam:Xenopus laevis strain J chromosome 3L, whole genome shotgun sequence.
CAUUUAUCAGUGACAGUGCUCACUAUAAAUG